GCUUCUGCUGCCAGAGACGCCCUCCCGGACUCCCCGACCCCGAGCUGGCCGAGCUGGCCCCGCUUUCCCGACUGCCUCGUCUCCCACUCGCACGCAUCCUCUCCGGCGAGGAGGUGGUGAAAACGGUCCGGCAGAGCAGGUAUGUUCCUGAGACUGCUCGCUGCUCCACCAGCCACCCAGGGGAGAGACACACACGGAGGGAAGCCACAUGAAGACGGAACAGAGAUGGAGUGAUGUCAGCUACAAGCCAAGGACAGCCGGCUGCCUCCAGAACCCAGGAGAGACGCAUGGGAUGGAACCUCCCUCGAGCCUCCGAAAGGAACCAACCCUGCCGACACCUCGGUUUCAGACCUCUGGCCUCCACCACUGUGAGAGAAAAAUGUCUGCUGUUUUAAAGCCACCCAGUUUGUGGUACUUUGUUACAGAAGUCCUUGGGAAACACACUGAAAUUUUGUAGUGCCUACUUCUCUGCUUCUUGACUUCGAACUUGGCUGUGUCGCUCGCUUUGGCCAAUAGCACGAGGUAGAAAUGUCGAUCGGCCAGUUCCUUCGUACCCAUUGCCGCAUUAAAAACUCCCAAAACUUAGUGGCUUAAGACACCAUGGAUUAUUUUUUCAUGAUUCUGGGAGUUGGAAUGUGGGCAUUUCUUCUGCUCCUCUUUCCUUGGAUCAUGCAGCGCCUGCAGCAUUCUGAGAGCCCAGAACUCUAGGGCCCAGGAGAACCUCCCCCACACAUCUGGCACUUGGUUCUAGCCACUGACUGAGCUGCCUCAGUUUCCCGCAUGACCCCUCACCCUCCAGUAAGCUGGACUGGCCUUCUUUUAUUUUUUGCACAGCAGA